rnacentral:rRNA from 1 species
ACAGAGACUGCAAGCGUUAUUCGGAUUCACUGGGCGUAAAGGGUGCGUAGGCGGCCUUAUAAGUCAGUGGUGAAAGCCCAUCGCUCAACGAUGGAACUGCCAUUGAUACUGUAAGGCUUGAGUACAGACGAGGUAGGCGGAAUUGAUGGUGUAGCGGUGAAAUGCAUAGAUACCAUCAAGAACACCGAUUGCGUAGGCAGCUUACUAGGCUGUAACUGACGCUGAGGCACGAAAGCGUGGGGAGCGAACAGGA